ACUCAGGCAUGGGCGUUGGGGGCGGCAGUGGCUGUCGAGCGCGGGCCGGAGACCAGGCACGGCUCCCCGGGCGGGCGCGCCGGCGUCGGACUUCCGAGGCGGCGGCUUCUGCUCUUGUGCCGCCGCCGCCGCCGGAGCUGCGGCUGCCGCGGAAGUUAAUUGCAACUUGACUUCAAGUUGUCUUCUUUCCCCAUCCGAAGUGGGCGUUUAAAGGGGAGAGCGAGGCGAGGAGCGAGCGAGCGAGCGCGCGGGGCCGAGGGAAGGAAGAGAAGGGGGGAGGGAGGAGAUGUUACCGGGGGGAGGGGAGGGGGAGGGGGCGGCUGGGGGCGGGAGGGGGAAAGGGGCCGGCGGGAGCUGCUCUCGGCUCGGCGGCCGCCGCGCCCGCAGUCUGGAGGCGCACCGGAGCGGCCGGGGCGCCCCUCGCGGGAGCCCGCAGCCACCGGGGCGCGCAUCCAGCCGCGGCUCCUCGGCCGGGCACGCUGCGCCCGGGGGCUCGGCGGACCCCGCGCCGCCGCCGCUUCGGAGCUUGUGCGCGGGCUGGCCGGCGGGGCGGCGAGGGCCCAACCCGCCUCCCCAGCGCCCGCCCCGGCUUCUCCCCCUGGCGGUGGAGCCUCGGCGGCCGCCGGCACCAGCAGGCGCGCUGGAGCCCGAGCCGAGCCGAGCCCGAGCCGCCGCCGCCGCCGCGCGCCGCUCCCAGGCUCCCUCCCAGCGCGCCGGCCGGGGUGUGGGGGGCGGCGGGCCGAGGGGCGAUGGCGGGUGGGGGGCGCGCCCUGGGGCUGGCGCCGAAGACCGGACCCUCCUCUGCCAGGGUUUAUACGUGGGACGCCUACCACAGCAUGGCUGCCAAGCAGUGCCAUGUCCGCACCCGGGAUCCGAACUGGCAAACCCCGGGCCGCCGAGAAGCGGAACGUGCGAACUUAACUGCUGCGCCACCGAGCCGGCCCCGAGACUAUAUUGUUUUUAAUUAAGCAAGAACAGAUGAGAAAACUGGAACACUGACAGAUCAAGUAUCUUUCUCAAGAUUGCAUAGCCAAUGAGUAGAGGAGCAAGGAUUUGAACCAGGCUGUUGGCUCCACAGCCUACGCUUGAACCUGCUCUAGGCUGUCGGAAGCAACCUAAAUAGCUAACAACUGGAGAUUUGCUAAGGUGUUGCGGGCCUCUGCUCUCGUAAUACUUCAGCUACAGAACCCACGUGUGAACGCUCCUAGCGCUCUGGAGAAGAUCAAAUGCAUGUGGAAGCUCUUUGAAAACCAUAAAGCCCUCUAAAUGAAAAGGUUGCAGCCAUGCUCCCUUGCACGUUUUUUUGCGGAGGAAGAUUAGCCCUGAACUAACAUCUGUGUGCAUCUUGCUGUACUUUAUAUGUGCGACACCUGCCACAGCAUAGGUCCACACCCAGGAUCCGAACCAGUGAACCCUGUGCCACCAAAGCAGAACGCGUGAACUUAACCACUAUGCCAUUAGGCUGGUCCACCUUGCACUUUCUUUUAUUUCAGAUGAUUUUGUACUUUCUUUGUAACUCACUCUAAAUAAUGCGUGUUGUUUUGCAUUUUUUAUAUCAGGAAGCGAAAUAUUAAAAAAUUUAUCAAAGUUGUAGGAAAAAGGGCACUCCCAUAAUAGAAAAAAAAAUGUAGCUUUAUGUCAUCAUUUUUUUAGAGAUUCUCUAGAGGUGAGCAGGGUUCCUUUAAAAAUAUGAAAUGAUAUAUUAUUUGAAAGUUGCUUGAACUACCACUGAUUGAGAUGGUAAAUUGGCACAACAGUUGUGCAAUAGCCAUUUAAAAAACAGAAAAACCUUCAACUGUGUAUAACCAUUCAAACAGAGAUAUUCACUUUUAGAAAUUUAUGCUACAGAAAUACAGAUAUGUUCACAAUUAAGCAUGAGACUGUUCAUUGUGGCAUGAGAUAUAUUAGGGGAAAAUUGGAAACAUCCUAAUGUCUAAACAUAGAUGCUAGUUUAAUAAAUUAUAAUACAUCCAAUCUAUAAAAUUCCAUUUACCAUCACAUAGAAAUCAUAUAGAAAAUAUUUAAUGAUGUGAGAAAUACAAAACAUUAAGUGGAAAAAGUAAGCUAGAAAACAGUUUGUCUAAAAUGAUCACAUACAUAAUAUAUAUACAUAUGGUCUGUCAUACAAUAAAAUGUUAACAGGUCAAUUAUGUCUCAAUAAAACUGGAAAAAUGUUAUUGGUGUCUGUUUCUGUGUGUUGGGAUUAUGAGAUUAUUUUCUUUUUUGUUUAUAUUUAUUGAUUUCUU
ensembl:lncRNA